GACGAACGCUGGCGGCGUGCUUAACACAUGCAAGUCGAACGGUGAAAGCGGAGCUUGCUCCGCUGGAUCAGUGGCGAACGGGUGAGUAACACGUGGGCAACCUGCCCCUCACUUCGGGAUAACUCCGGGAAACCGGGGCUAAUACCGGAUAUGACCUCCUUGGGCAUCCUUGGAGGUGGAAAGUUUUUCGGUGAGGGAUGGGCCCGCGGCCUAUCAGCUUGUUGGUGAGGUAGUGGCUCACCAAGGCGACGACGGGUAGCCGGCCUGAGAGGGCGACCGGCCACGCUGGGACUGAGACACGGCCCAGACUCCUACGGGAGGCAGCAGUGGGGAAUCUUCCGCAAUGGACGAAAGUCUGACGGAGCAACGCCGCGUGAGUGAUGAAGGCUUUCGGGUCGUAAAACUCUGUUGUUAGGGAAGAACAAGUGCUAGUUGAAUAAGCUGGCACCUUGACGGUACCUAACCAGAAAGCCACGGCUAACUACGUGCCAGCCGCCGCCGUAA
rnacentral:rRNA from 1 species